AGCUCUGGUGGCCUAGUGGUUAGAUCAUCCAUCUUGGAUGUGGGAGGUUGCAGGUUUGAACCCUGGGCAAGUCA